AUGAUCCUCGUGUUCGACGGCACCGAGGUCUCGAUUCUGAGGUCCUGCGGAACGUCCGUGUGCGUGAGAAGGUUACAAGAAGAAUUAUGAGGGCUCUUCACAGAUGCUAUCUUAACACGUCAAGGAUAAGAUAUACAAAAAAUUAAAGAAUAGACGUUCACGAGAAAUUACCUGAGAGCAUUCAAGGGAAACUAUGAAGUUUCGACGUUUCCAUAAGAGAAUUUUAAGAGAAUUUCUUCUCUUGUACGAUGUAUAUGACAUUCAUUGUGCUUUAUUGUAUUCUUUCCAUUCCAUUAUUUUAAUACAUUAAUGUGAAUUU